GGAAGUAAAAGUUGUAACAAGGUUUCCGUAGGUGAACCUGCGGAAGGAUCAUUAUUGUAUAACCGAGGUGCGAGGGCUGUCGCUGACCCGAAAGGUCGUGCACGCCCGAGUGCCCUCAUACACAUCCAUCUCACCCCUAUGUGCACCACCGCGUGGGUCCCCCUUUGGCUUGUUCGGAGGGGGGCUUACGUUUUCACACAAACUUUGUAUGCAGUGUAGAAUGUAUUUUUUGUUUUUGCGAUCACGCAAUCAAUACAACUUUCAACAACGGAUCUCUUGGCUCUC
rnacentral:misc_RNA from 1 species